UACGGAUGGUGCAAGCGUUACUCGGAAUCACUGGGCAUAAAGAGCACGUAGGCGGCGACGCAAGUCAGUGGUGAAAUCCCCCGGCUCAACCGGGGAACUGCCAUUGAUACUGCGUUGCUCGAGUGCGGGAGGGGCAGACGGAAUUCCAGGUGGAGCGGUGAAAUGCGUAGAUAUCUGGAGGAACGCCAGGGGCGAAAGCGGUCUGCUGGCCCGCAACUGACGCUGAGGUGCGAAAGCUAGGGGAGCAAACAGG
rnacentral:misc_RNA from 1 species